GCUCAGUGAGUUUACAUGUUAGAGGGAGUGGGGUAUAGUGACGCAGUAACAGAGGGAUUGAGGGCCUGCUCAGUGAGUUUACAUGUUAGAGGGAGUGGGGUAUAGUGACAGUAACAGAGGGAUUGAGGGCCCUGCUCAGUGAGUUUACAUGUUAGAAGGAGUGGGGUAUAGUGACAGUAACAGAGGGAUUGAGGUCCCGCUCAGUGAGGUUACAUGUUAGAGGGAGUGGGGUAUAGUGACACAGUAACAGAGGGAUUUAGGGCCCAGCUCAAUGAGCUUGAAUAGUGUAGGUUAUUCACUAAGCUUAGAAUUCAAACGGGAAUUUCAAAAGUAAGGCUAAAAUUGUGAAAGUGGAAAAAUUUGGUUACUUUGGCUUGAAAUAUGAUAUUCAAUUCACUUUGAAUGCUCACGUUAGUCACGCACGCUGCGGCACCAACCUAUUCCCCAGCGCUGUACAAUGAGAACACAAAGCAUGCAGAUAACUAAUAAUAUUAUUAUGUUAUUAUUUAUAUAGCGCUAACAAAUUCCGCAGUGCUUUACAGUGAGUGGACGAACAAACAUGUAGUUGUAACCUACAUAAAUAUGUAAAUAUGACACACUUAGAUAAACAUUUGUGAGGGCACUGGUCCCAAGAGUAUACAAUUAAAACAGAGUAUUAAAAGGUGAGAGUGCGAUUGUCUUAUGAGGUAAAAUCACAGUAAGUCGACUGUGGUGAGGUAAGUGGUGGAAGCCAUGGGGGCAGUGGGUGGUGUUUGUAUUCCUUAUUUUAUACCCUGAGCUUAGAAGACUGGAAGUGGAACGGGAGAUCAUAACAGGUGAAGGAUCACUGAGCAUUACUAUAAAUCAUGAUAUAAGAAUAUAAUUGGAGUUGUCAAACAUGUUAUAAAGGGUACAAAAGGAAGUGAUACAAAUGCAAGUUCAAUAAAGUUACAUAAAGAAUUGUGUGAAAAAAGCUGUUAAUUCAAUUAGCGCCUGUGUAGGGGCUGAUCACCUAAAUGUCGGCAAUUCAAAUGUGAAAACUUACUUAAAACAUGCAAAAACAUGGUAUCUAAGGAAUCGGCAUGAAUCUAAAAUUAAAUAAAUCGUUAGAC